GGUAGCCACUUGAUUUUGGGUUAACAAUGUAGUCAUCAAACUCUCCAUCAAUAGGGGACCAUAGCCUGUGCACAAUGUUGAGAAGAUUAUAGCAACUCUGAACUGCCUGGCUGUGUAAUGCCCCAUUCUUAUCUCCGACAAUAACCCUCAAUGCACGGGCAUCAUACACUUUGUUUAUGCCAAUUUCUUUCCUUUUCAUCUUACUAUAAAUACUAAACAAGCUUUUUAAGCGUCCAGAUAAAGUGACUUCCAUCCCAGGCACAUACGAGGUAGAAA
rnacentral:misc_RNA from 1 species